rnacentral:rRNA from 1 species
GACAUGGCUCAGGAUGAACGCUAGCUACAGGCUUAACACAUGCAAGUCGAGGGGCAGCAUGACGGAAGCUUGCUUUCGUUGAUGGCGACCGGCGCACGGGUGAGUAACGCGUAUCCAACCUGCCCUUGUCCAUCGGAUAACCCGUCGAAAGGCGGACUAACACGAUAUGCAGUUCUCAGCAGGCAUCUAACGAGAACGAAAUGUGAAGGAGAAGGAUGGGGAUGCGU